rnacentral:sRNA from 1 species
UGCAUCUGCAGCUCAUGAGGAUGAGAACCUCCGGGGGCAGGGAGGUUCGACUCGAGCGAAGCGAGAGAACGUUGCGCCAGCAACGGCCCGCAGGGCGAGCCACGAAGUG